ACUCAGCCUGGACGCGCUCCUUCGGGUCGCGGGUGCACUCCGGCCCGGCUCCCGCCUCGGCCCCGAUGGACGCCGCGUUCCUCCUCGUCCUCGGGCUGUUGGCCCAGAGCCUCUUUCUGUCUUUGGGGGUUCCUGGAUGGAGGAGGCCCACCACCCUGUACCCCUGGCGCCGGGCGCCUGCCCUGAGCCGCGUGCGGAGGGCCUGGGUCAUCCCCCCGAUCAGCGUAUCCGAGAACCACAAGCGUCUCCCCUACCCCCUGGUUCAGAUCAAGUCGGACAAGCAGCAGCUGGGCAGCGUCAUCUACAGCAUCCAGGGACCCGGCGUGGACGAGGAGCCCCGGGGCGUCUUCUCUAUCGACAAGUUCACAGGGAAGGUCUUCCUCAAUGCCAUGCUGGACCGCGAGAAGACUGAUCGCUUCAGGCUAAGAGCGUUUGCCCUGGACCUGGGAGGAUCCACCCUGGAGGACCCCACGGACCUGGAGAUUGUAGUUGUGGAUCAGAAUGACAACCGGCCAGCCUUCCUGCAGGAGGCGUUCACUGGCCGCGUGCUGGAGGGUGCAGUCCCAGGCACCUAUGUGACCAGGGCAGAGGCCACAGAUGCCGACGACCCCGAGACGGACAACGCAGCGCUGCGGUUCUCCAUCCUGCAGCAGGGCAGCCCCGAGCUCUUCAGCAUCGACGAGCUCACAGGAGAGAUCCGCACAGUGCAAGUGGGGCUGGACCGCGAGGUGAGGUGGUGCCCCGGCAGCUCCACACCCGCACGGCCAGGGCAGCCCAUCUCCUGUGGGUCCCUCUGCCCCCAGCCUGCCCACCCCAGACGCUCCUGUCCCUGCCGUCGCUGCAAAGCUUGCAGUGGCCCUGGCUCCUGAGGAGACGGCAUGGGGUGAACCCACUGAUGCGCAGACAGGAGCCGCGCUGGCCCGGGUGGGAGGGGUCUGGUGCAAGUAGAGCGUGAGGGGCCCGGCACAGGGCAGGGCUCCCCAAGCAGCCCCGCCCCUCUCAGCCUCAUGGCAACGGCUCCCCGCUGGUAAGUAACUAACUCCUUCUGUCAGGGCCCCUGUUGCCCCUUGCUGUCGGACUUCUGUGCUCCCGGAAGACCCCCCUUGAGUCAGCUCUUCUAGGAAGCCCUCCUGGUUACACUGUUACGUGGUCUUUGUCCAUUUCUGUUCCUGCCACUAACCACGGUUCCCCAGGGCAGGGACCCAAGCUCACUGGUGUGCUAGGUGCCCAGCACACAGUAGGUGCUCUGUAAAUGCUUACCCAGCGCACAGUAGGUGCUCUGUAAACACCCAGCGCACAGUAGGUGCUCUGUAAACGCUUACCCAGCGCAGAGUAGGUGCUCUGUAAACGCUUACCCAGCGCACAGUAGGUGCUCUGUAAAUGCUUACCCAGCGCACAGUAGGUGCUCUGUAAACACCCAGCACACAGUGGUGCUCUGUAAACACUUACCCAGCACACAGUAGGUGCUCUGUAAACGCUUACCCAGCGCACAGAAGGUGCUCUGUAAAUGCUUACCCAGUGCAGAGUAGGUGCUCUGUAAACGCUUACCUAGCAC
rnacentral:sRNA from 1 species